AAAGGACUGGGAAAGGCCGCAUGCCUUUGACUCAUAUGAACAUGAACAGCUCUUAUUAUUAUUCAGUCUAUAAAUACCAUACAAUCCCUCAUAUACCAUACUACAAUCAUUUUCUCUAUAAAGAAGGCAAGAAUUUCAAAGAAGAGUUUAAGUAGAAAUCAUGAGAUAUGAGAAGAUGGUGGGAGGAAGGUACAGUAUUAAAAUAGGGUCUCUGAUGGAAUGGAAGUAAAUAAGAAUAUGUCUGUUUGAGACGGCCGAAUAUGCAGUCCACAGCCUUUUUUUCCCUUCCUGCCAUCAUCUUUUCUUAUCUCAAUAUUAAAUGCUUCCCUUGUUUACAGCGAAUAAUUACUACCCUUUUGUAUGAAAUUGUUGCAGACUAUUUUUAAUUCAGGAUGGAAUUUGAAUUGUUUGGCAUCUAAAUCAGUGGACGUUUUGGAAUGUAAAUUUCAAAGGAUGUUUGAGAAUGUAUUGGCCGUUUUAUUUAAGCUUAGUGAUUGUUUGGGAUUUGUAUACAAAAAGAUUUGAAUGAUGGAUCAGGUUUUGGGUGGAUGAAGGUUAUUUUUAGUAUCAUUUAUUUCCAUGGUUCAAUUGAAUAGAAAAGAUUGUAAAGAAAGUUAUAAAUAGAUUUGAAUGGUGGAUUAGGUUUUGGGUGGAUGAA